AGUAUCUGCUUAACUACUGAUUUUAAUAGCCAUUACUGCUAAUAAAAGAAUGUCACCAUACUGUGAUUUAUAUUAAUACUCAUGGUGCAUUUUGCACAUGAAAAACAUGCAGCCACUGGCCUGUGGGGUACUUGAUGCCUCCUGUGCUUUGCAGGCUGUAGAAUUUGCUCUUCUGUCUUUUCUGGCAUGACAGAUGAGGCCCGUCGUCCUGGUCCUGAAGUGGGAAGAUCUUAUUGGAGGGUAGUAAGUUACAGGAGAGAAUAUGGGAGACCAGUUUACAGAUGAUGAAAGCACAGUUUGCCUCAACAUGGAGUUUUUCUGAAGAACUAUUGUUCAUGGAGACAUUCUUACUUGGAGUAUGAAUGGAAUAAAAAAAAUCUUGUUUUGUAAGGCUAAGGCAUUAGAUGGAACAUU